UAAGACCCAGACUUUUCUUGACUCUUCAAAGGUCUUGGAAUAAGAGGUGGGUAAGGACGGUGCCAGCCGCCGCGGUAAUACCGGCGCCUCAAGUGGUAGUCGAUUUUAUUGGGCCUAAAACGUCCGUAGCCGGUUUGAUACAUUCGUGGGUAAAUCAACCAGCUCAACUGGUUGAAUUCUGCGAGCACGGCCAGACUUGGGACCGGGAGAGGUGUGGGGUACGCUCAGGGUAGGGGUAAAAUCCUGUCAUCCUGAGCGGACCACCUGUUGCGAAGGCGCCACACUAGAACGGAUCCGACGGUCAGGGACGAAGCCUAGGGGCACGAACCGGAUUAAAUACCCGGGUAGUCCUAGGUGUAAACGCUGUGGACUUGGUGUUGGGGAUGAUCCGAUCAUUCUCAGUGCCGAAGCGAAGGUGAUAAGUCCACUGCCUGGGAAGUACGGUCGCAAGGCUGAAACUUAAAGGA
rnacentral:rRNA from 1 species